CUGAACUGAGAUAUGAAGUAUACUUACUGUUAGUUAAAAAAGGCAUGAAAAUACAUUUCAGGGAGAAGAACUAGCAAAAGCACAAGUGCAGAGGCAUGGAAUAGCAUGGGACACGCCACAAUCAUUAUAGGCAGAUAGUUUUUACUAGACUAUAAAAGAAAUUCAGAACAAGAGGGAGGAGAGACUGGUUAGGUGCAUCUGCUUGGCAGAACCGAUGUCUCACUCCUGCAUGCUAGUUAAAAGGAUGUUUGGAAAAUGCAAUUCGUGGGCUGCCAGCCUCUGUUGUUCAUGAAGAAAGGUUACAAGAAUAAUACAAAGAAGAGUGACAUCAGCAUCACGGCAGAGUGAACUUGUGUGACUCUCUCCCUUCCAACAUACAACAAAAAGGGAAAUCCAUACUCCAACAGAAGACACCCCAACAUAAUACAAAAACCUCUGAGACACAUGCAGCCAUAUGACAAGGGGUGGACAGGCUGGAGCCCCCCUCAGAGGAGGUGGAAUGGGGUAAAAGAGAUCUUUGCUCCCUCCCCUAAAGACUGAACUUGUGACUGUGGGAGGAACCACAAGAGAAGGAGUGGGUGAGGGAUUGCUCAUUGGUGGGAUCAACCAGGACUCCCUAGGGCUCAUGCAGCCUAGAUGGAAGCCCUCUAAUGGGGGAAAAGCUUUUGUGGGGAGUGACCUCAUCAAGCCAACAAGCCAAGAGACCACAUAGGGA
rnacentral:lncRNA from 1 species